rfam:Oryza glumipatula chromosome 9, whole genome shotgun sequence.
AAAAAGACAAAUCCUAGUUUUCCGUGUCUAACUUUGACGGUCCGUCUUAUAUAAAAUUAUUUAUAAUUUAUAUUUUUAUUAUUGUUAGAUGAUAAAACAUGAUUAAUAUUUUAUGCGUGACUUGUCUUUUUAAUUUUUUUAUAAUUUUUUCAAAUAAAACGGACGGUCAAACGUUAGACACGGAAACCAGAGUUUGUCUUUUUU